UAUCUCUCCGUACGGGGAAGGAUGAGAAGCUUCGACUAAGGUUCGAUUCGAGCGCAGCGAGAAAGCGUUGCCGCAGGCAACGACCCGAAGGGC
rnacentral:sRNA from 1 species